GAUGUUUGUUAAGCUAAUUUUCAAGGUGCUGAAAAUUCAUUAUAUUUCUUUAUUGUACCUGCUGUAAGUACACAUUACUUCCUGAGAGACUGGCUGAUAAUAAGUGACCUGAAGAAGGCCACAAAUUCAACGCCACAGUCUGGUGUGCAAGUUCCUGAUCAAGUGAUGCAGAGCACAAAGGCAACUCUUGUACACCCUUUUUCACCAGUUUCCACAUGCAUUUGACCACGUAUCUGCAUAAAACUGCCUUGAGGGCUUUGUGGCAGUGCGUGUUUGAUGCAGAUGAGUUGCAAGGACCGGAUGCAACUUCUAGCUGAUUGUUUGAGGAGAGCAGGUCUCGCCUGCUGAGCUACUGUUUGAAGAUAUUUUUUAACAACUUUGAGCCAGCAAAGACAGUAAGUUCAAAGCCUCUUGUCCUGAGACAAUGGUUUUCCAAUGCAUGACUAUGCACCCUGAAAGUGGAAUUCCAAUCUCAAGAAAACCCAAUCUGAGAAAUGUCUGCCAGUAAAGCAGGCAUUCCAUAUUUUCUGUUAUGAGACACUCUGAUCCAGCCAUGUCAGAAUGUGC
ensembl:lncRNA